UUUUUUUUCUUGAAACAAAAAAACGAAAAAACGAAAAAACGAAAAACAAAAACAACAACGACCACGACACCGACCUUACUGGAAUCUGGGCACGAGAUGGCCGCAUCAAUGGCCUUAGAGGACAUCGCCGUGGACUCCCUGCCUUCGCCCUGCCUCGGGCUCGACGCGGCCCCCCGCUCAGGCCGCCGGGCUGUUCCCUCGAGCUCGGAAGCUCCUUCCUCGAUGCCUGUCACGCUCGACGCGGCCGCCUUGCGCCGGCGCUCUUGAAGCGGCAGACGCGAAGCAGGAGGACGUGCGGCCUGGUCGUGGCCGAGAUGGGCGGGCAGUACGAAGAGGGAUUCGACGACGUUCGUGUGGUAAAAGGGUAACUGCCGUCAACUAUUUAAUUACUUCACCUAUAAAGCGGCAAGGACUGUUCUCCACCAGCUGCAUGAAAUGAACCCACCAAGUUAUAUGUGGUUAUAUAAGACAAUAAACCAUCUGAUGGUAAAUGCUUUCUCCGCAUACCGGCAAAGGAAAAGCAAGAUCUGGCAGAAAGAGUGAUGAUAACAAGCUUUCAUCUAUAUGGCAAAUGGAUUAAGAAAUGUGAGCAUGCAAAAACGUAUCAACAAAUUUCGGAAUGAAAACCAACCUACAGCUGAUGCGCGAACGGCUGAUGGAAACCGUCAUUUGACCAUCAGAUGACACAAACACAGAAAAUUGACAGAUAGUCAAGUAUGUGAUUGCAGUGUUCCUCAUCUUGUAUAUUAGUUCGUCAUAUCAAAUCUCUAUAUCCAUUUCCGAUGGAUUUUGUAUUAUAUUCUUCUUACUCGAUCUAAUAUUAGAAAUAUAAAUCUGAGUUAUGCCAUCUGUUUAUGCUUA